UACGUAGGUGACCAGCGUUGUCCGGAUUUACUGGGCGUAAAGAGCUCGUAGGCGGCUUGUCGCGUCGGCUGUGAAAACCUGGGGCUCAACCCCGGGCCUGCAGCCGAUACGGGCAGACUAGAGUUCGGCAGGGGAGACUGGAAUUCCUGGUGUAGCGGUGAAAUGCGCAGAUAUCAGGAGGAACACCGGUGGCGAAGGCAGCCCCCUGGGCUAACACUGACGCUCAUGCACGAAAGCGUGGGGAGCAAACAGG
rnacentral:rRNA from 1 species